UCAUAAAGUUCUUGUCUUAGAUUUGUCUAGAUACGAAUGUAUCAAGUCACAUUUUAAUAUUAGAUACAUCCAUAUCUAGAAAAAUCUAAGACAAGAAAUUUGGGA
rnacentral:pre_miRNA from 1 species